UACGGGGGGGGGCAAGCGUUGUUCGGAAUUACUGGGCGUAAAGGGCUCGUAGGCGGCCAACUAAGUCGGAUGUGAAAUCCCCAGGCUCAACUUGGGAACUGCAUCCGAUACUGGAUGGCUUGAAUCCGGGAGAGGGAUGCAGAAUUCCAGGUGUAGCGGUGAAAUGCGUAGAUAUCAGGUGGAAUACCGGUGGCGAAGGCGGCCAAUUG
rnacentral:rRNA from 1 species